UACGUAGGGUGCAAGCGUUAUCCGGAAUUAUUGGGCGUAAAGAGCUCGUAGGCGGUCUGUCGCGUCUGCUGUGAAAUCUGGGGGCUCAACCCCCAGCCUGCAGUGGGUACGGGCAGACUAGAGUGCGGUAGGGGAGAUUGGAACUCCUGGUGUAGCGGUGGAAUGCGCAGAUAUCAGGAAGAACACCGAUGGCGAAGGCAGAUCUCUGGGCCGUAACUGACGCCUGGAGGAG
rnacentral:rRNA from 1 species